CAGUAGCCACGGUAAUACGUAGGGUGCGAGCGUUAAUCGGAAUUACUGGGCGUAAAGCGUGCGCAGGCGGUUUCUUAAGUCUGAUGUGAAAGCCCCCGGCUCAACCCCGGAACUGCCUUUGAAACUAGAUGACUGGAAUCUUGGAGAGGUCAGUGGAAUUCCGAGUGUAGAGGUGAAAUUCGUAGAUAUUCGGAAGAACACCAGUGGCGAAGGCGACUGACUGGACAAGUAUUGACGCUGAGGUGCGAAAGCGUGGGGAGCAAACAGGAUUAGAUACCCUGUAGUCCCUGUCUCUUAUACA
rnacentral:rRNA from 1 species